GACGAACGCUGGCGGCGUGCUUAACACAUGCAAGUCGAACGCUGAAGCCCGCUUGCGGGUGGAUGAGUGGCGAACGGGUGAGUAACACGUGAGUAACCUGCCCUUCACUUUGGGAUAACCUUCGGAAACGGGGGCUAAUACUGGAUAUGACUCAUGGCCGCAUGGUUGUGGGUGGAAAGAUUCUUUGGUGGGGGAUGGGCUCGCGGCCUAUCAGCUUGUUGGUGGGGUGAUGGCCUACCAAGGCGACGACGGGUAGCCGGCCUGAGAGGGCGACCGGCCACACUGGGACUGAGACACGGCCCAGACUCCUACGGAGGCAGCAGUGGGGAAUAUUGCACAAUGGGCGCAAGCCUGAUGCAGCGACGCCGCGUGGGGGAUGACGGCCU
rnacentral:rRNA from 1 species